UACAGAGGGGGCAAGCGUUGUUCGGAAUUACUGGGCGUAAAGGGCGCGUAGGCGGCCUGUUAAGUCGAACGUGAAAUCCCCGGGCUCAACCCGGGAACUGCGUCCGAGACUGACAGGCUUGAAUCCGGGAGAGGGAUGUGGAAUUCCAGGUGUAGCGGUGAAAUGCGUAGAUAUCUGGAGGAACACCGGUGGCGAAGGCGGCAUCCUGGACCGGUAUUGACGCUGAGGCGCGAAAGCCAGGGGAGCAAACGGG
rnacentral:rRNA from 1 species